rnacentral:rRNA from 1 species
UUAAAGUUGUUGCAGUUAAAAAGCUCGUAGUCGGAUUUUGGCAUCACGCCGUACUGUCUGCCGAUUGGUAUGCACGGUUUGGCGGGUGCUUCCUUCCGGAGGCUCGUUCCCUCCUUAACUGAAGGGUUCGUUGGUUCCGGUUCUUUUACUUUGAGAAAAUUAGAGUGUUCAAAGCAGGCCUAUGCUCUGAAUAGGUUAGCAUGGAAUAAUAGAAUAGGACUUUGGUUCUAUUUUGUUGGUUUCUAGGACCGAAGUAAUGAUUAAUAGGGACAGUUGGGGGCAUUCAUAUUCCAUUGUCAGAGAUGAAAUUCUUGGAUUAACGGAAGAUGAACUUCUGCGAAAGCAUCUGCCAAGGAUGUCUUCAUUGAUCAAGAACGAAAGUUAGGGGAUCGAAGACGAUCAGAUACCGUCGUAGUCUUAACCAUAAACUAUGCCGACUAGGGAUGUGGAGGUGUUAACUUUGUACGACCCUCCAUGCACCUUAUGAGAAAUCAAAGUCUAUGGGUUCCGGGGGGAGUAUGGUCGCAAGGCUGAAACUUAAAG